UACGUAGGUGGCAAGCGUUGUCCGGAUUUAUUGGGUUUAAAGGGUGCGUAGGCGGCUUUGUAAGUCAGUGGUGAAAUAUGGCAGCUCAACUGUCAAGGUGCCAUUGAUACUGCAGAGCUUGAGUACAGAUGAGGUAGGCGGAAUUGACGGUGUAGCGGUGAAAUGCUUAGAUAUCGUCAAGAACACCUAUAGCGAAGGCAGCUUACUAGGCUGUAACUGACGCUGAGGCACGGAAGUGUGGGGAUCAAACAGG
rnacentral:rRNA from 1 species